GGGCUUGUAGCUCAGGGUGGAUGAGAGCGACUGCUUCUAAGCAGUGGGUCCCGCGUUCAGUCGCGGCAAGCCCA
rnacentral:tRNA from 1 species